rnacentral:rRNA from 1 species
GACGAACGCUGGCGGCGUGCUUAACACAUGCAAGUCGAACGGAAAGGCCCUUCGGGGUACCCGAGUGGCGAACGGGUGAGUAACACGUGGGUGAUCUGCCCUGCACUUUGGGAUAAGCCUGGGAAACUGGGUCUAAUACCGGAUAGGACUACGCGAUGCAUGUCGUGUGGUGGAAAGCUUUUGCGGUGUGGGAUGGGCCCGCGGCCUAUCAGCUUGUCGGUGGGGUUAUGGCUUACCAAGGCGACGACGGGUAGCCGGCCUGAGAGGGUGACCGGCCACACUGGGACUGGGGUACGGCCCAGAAUCCUACGGGAGGCAGCAGUGGGGAAUAUUGCACAAUGGGCGCAAGCCUGAUGCAGCGACGCCGCGUGAGGGAUGACGGCCUUCGGGUUGUAAACCUCUUUCAGCAGGGACGAAGCGCAAGUGACGGUACCUGUAGAAGAAGGACCGGCCAACUACGUGCCAGCCGCCGCGGUAA